ensembl:lncRNA
GGCACAGCUUCUCUGGCUCUCCUUGGGACCUUCUUCAUGUCAAGUAUUUGACCUCCAUAGUUUUGAAAUAUCUAAGAAGAGGAGAAGGAUAGAAAAAACAGGACUAGUAACAAAUGUACGAUCAGUUACCUGUCUUGCCUGUGGUUUAUUGAAGGACUCUGUACAUCCUUCCUGGAGCCAGACCUGCAGCGUUCAGAGUUGUCUAUCUGGACAGCAUUUGUUUUCUCCGAGUUCCAAAAUGUGUUUGAAUCCAUUGCAUUGAAAAAUUAAAAUGAAGGUGCAAUUCCAGUGGGUGCCCCUUGGAUGCAUGCAGCCUCCAGUCAGCCGAUUGCCAGAACCUUGCUCCUGAGUGAAGAGGUGAGAGUGAAAAGGAAAGAAGCGGCCUUGAGAGCUCCUUAUAAAUGAAUGGAAGAACAUUGCAAAUCUGCUUCACGCUCUCCUGGUGCCAGUUGUCUCUGCAAGGAUGGAAAUUGCUGCUAAAUCAGCAGUCACAGGUUCCAAAUGCAAGGGUCCACCUGGAUGCUCAGGUCAUCUGUGAGGGUCAAGAAGAAGCCAGGACACAGGAGGGCCCUUUCCUAGUUGCAGCUCAUGAGAAAUGGUCUGCUGAAUGUUCAGUGUGACCAGAUGAAGACGAAGGAGCUACAGAGGAAACAUAUAGGAGCUCCAGUAUGCCUCAGGACGUGAUGCAGUACACAGACUCAAGAGACCUUUUCAGUUUGGGAUGUGUUUGCUAUGAUGCAUAGAUGCUCAGGCAUAGUCCUCUGCCUGACUCUCAUGAAAAAUGUGCACUAGAGCCAGAAGUGCUGUGUUUCUGGCUGCAGAACCCCACAACAAUGUACAGUGAAGAACAUUGGCAGGACCACAUUCAGCCUUAACACAGACCACAUUUCCCUCCUUAAUCCAGAGGUUCCAUCUUUAGGCCCAUCCAAGAGGUUUCCAUAACUGUUCAUCAAGCAUGCAAGAAGUAAGGAUUAAAUACUUCAGAGUCACUAAACAGCCUUUAGUUUCCUAGAGCAUUUCUCACCAGAUUGUAAAAAUAUAGAACAAGGACUCUAUAUUGUGGAAAUUAUAUUUUUGCUAGAAAACAGGAAUAAACUCCUCUUUCUUAUCUUCCUUGCAAACUCUUCCUUCAGAUUGCUGAGCAGCCUAUUUCCUUAUUUCCAACUGUUAGCAUUCAUUUAGAGUUUUCUGCACCAUGCAGAUUGCCAGUCUUUCUUACCUUCCUUUUCCUCUUUCAUACACAAUUGCAGUAAAGAGAAUUUGUUCCCUCCGUAGCUGUCACACUGCACACAGAGCCAAUCUACCUCUCAGCAAUGCUACUGAGUAGAACAGGCACAAAGGAGUAUUCUGGAGUGUCACCUCUCAUGGGCAGGACAAACAGCUUCCAGCCACUUCCUAAAUGUAUGGUUGUUCAGGGACAAUGUCACCCACAUCAACAUACAAAAUUCUGCUAACUCAUAUCUCAGAUUUUUGUAAGUAUUGUACACAUGCAUAUUAAAGAUCGUGAUUUUUUAGCUAGGUAUUCACCUGAGUGGCUUUAAGUGCUUUUUGAAUAGUACAAAGAAAAGAAACAAACAACACUUCUAAAAGAAACUCGCUGCUCAAAGCCGAUACAUUUGUAGCCACCCCUUUCUCGAUGUAGCAUGGAGAACCAUUAUAAACAUAACAAAUAAAUAAAUAAAUAAAGGUAGGGUUAAUAAAACAACUUGACAGAAGUCACUAUGAUGUUAAUACUGCUACUUAAGGGAUAAGAAAAGGAAGGG